CGCCCGCUCACGUCCCAUACACAGGAAGAUCUUUAAAAAUCCCAUAAUAAUUGGAAUCGGAUCUCUCAGAUCCCGUACAUAGGAAGAUCUUUUAAAAAAGACCGUUCACGUCCUUACAUAGGAAGGUAUGAAAAAAACUAAAAUUACAUCCCAACUCAAAAAAAGGAAGUUGUCCUCCGUACCGAUAUUUUACCGGAAAGAAAUAUCUCCGUGAAGAUACCAUCGGGGUUUCCUGCUCCACCCAUGCACCAAAACUUCCUCGAGAGAAUCCUAGCGUUGUUCUUCUCCACAACUCCAUGAUGUCCUGGAUUUUGAAGUUCCAUCCAACAUAGCGACAACUUGGACGCAGACGUACACGAUGUCUUGGAUUUUGAAGUUCCAUCCACAUAGCAACGGCUUGGACUCAGAGGUACACCAUGAACUUCACCAGGGACUGAACACCGGCCUCUUCCGUCAUAAGCACGGACGGCUGCUGGACGCAGGUGUCGGACUGGACGAAUCAGUACAUAGGAACUGGGGUGCCCUAGCAUGUCCACCAUCUUCAUUGGAAUUGCGCUGCGCUAGCCCCUCUCAGGUGACUGGUGACUGUCACAUCAACCUCCUCCUUUUUUCUAGGAUUUGUUCUGUUCUUUAAUUAAUAAUACUCUGUAGCACACCUAGAAGUUCAUAUGCAUUACAAGAUAUAGCACCCAUCAUUUGCAUAUACCCCCUUUCAUUGUUUUCUUUGAACUCCUCUGUUCUCUAAUUAAUAGCACAUAUAUAAGUUGAUUUGUGCAUUGCCAAAAUAUGAUGUAUCGACAAUGAAGCACACCAUGUUUCUUUUCUAUCACAAUGGUACAUUAAAAUAAAAUAUGCAUAUGCAUCGGACAAAAAACUAUUGAUUCACUACUAGAUUAGAGUACUGAUAGACAUCUCACUCCACAUACUUUUCUGCCCAAAAAGUUUAAUUUGACUAAUGUAUGUAUUUGUUAGUCAGACUCGCAAAUAGUCCAUAUAGUUUGAUGCAAGAAGUUUGAUGCUCAAGAUAACUCCCAAAGCUAAUAAUUGUUUUGUCAGCUGGACUACUUUAAAGAAUUGUACUUGCUCUCAGGCAACUUGAAAUAUAUGUCAACUACCUAGCAAUGCAUAGUUCUUUGUGCAGUUGUGAAGUUCUUUAUAGUGAGAUGUUAUGCCUAAUAUUUUAUCCUGGUGAAGAAGCCAUGCCAAAAAUGGAUACUUGGCUUACAAGUGCUGUGAAAGUCACCAGAGAAGAAUUUUCAGGUUAGCAAGAGGUAAGACACUUACCUUUACUUCAGUUACCAAUAUUGUGCUUCAAGAACAUUGUAUGUAAUAUUGAGGAUUGUCUGAUCAACACUAGCCAGCGACGUCGCAACCUACAGUAUUAACUCCGCCCGGCGUCCAAAAACAACAACACCUCCAGCAGGUAUCAUAUUCUGCACGAAAUCAAGUCAUUUGCAUGAUUCACUAUAUGCCAAAUUGAUGAAUGGAUUAAUGGAUAAACGAUACUUGAUCAAUAAAUAAAUUGCUGAUGGAGAUACCAGAGAGAGUAGGGUAAAUAUUCGUAAAACAAGUUCAGUUGAACGAGAUUUAUAUAUAUUGGAGAACAAGUUCAAAUGAACUAGAUUUAUAAAUAUGUUUAUGUGGAGAUAUCAUUGGGUUGCUUACCAUGAUGAAACCAAUAGAGAAACUACAGAAAAACAGGCGGACAAGCAGAGAGCAAAGUUCAAACAUCGGCGAGAUUUAAGUCCUUUUGCUAGAGUCAGUUAUUCAAAUUACACAUAUAAACUUUUAACAUUACUUUUACAUGGUUAAAUUCUUUCGGUGGUGAGAAUAUAGGGAUUGCUCUAUGGGGAUAUUUUAACAAAUAUGGUAAAUGGAGGUUUUGCAGAAACAGAAGAUCAUGAUUGUCACUCCAAAUUUUAUCAAAGAAAUCAAAAGUGAGAAAUUUAAACUCUUUUCAAUACCCCUCAAAUCCAAUGUUCUUAAUCGUUUAUCCAUAACAGGGUCAUUAUUGCACACAAUAAAUGCAUGUAAUUUAUUUUGAAAGAGAUGUUUAUAAAACAAUGAUGGAAGUUGAUGAAAGCACCAAAGGAAAAACUUAAAAACAAAUAUUUUGUAACAGAAAAACAUUGGGGGAAUUAUAGAAUUGCGGUAGGAUGAUGCUAAAAAAGAUUUGUCUCUGCUAUAAUAUACCUUUUUCUAAUAUUGUAACAUUAUCUGAUCUGACUGGUCUGCUAUUAAAUUAAUAAUUUGCACGCACAACAAGAGCAAGAAUUUAUGAGAUUGUAACUGAUAAGGUUGGUGGUACAUUGUAUGCAAAGUUUGCUUCUGCGACAAGAAAGGAAUAUGGUAACUAUUUGCAAUUCAUGUAACGAGUGGCAGAAAAUGUAGAUCUAUAGUGAGUAUACUCUCCAUCAUAUUAGUUUCAUACUUUAACUCAAGGUAAGCGAUGAGAUAGCAAGGCAACGUUUAUCAUGUUUAAUGAGGUAGCACAAAGACGCUUAGGCAACAUAUGUGCAUCUACCUUGCUAGAACAACAUGAUGGAUUCACAAACACCAUCCCAACUGUUAUUCAAGACCUUACCUACUGGAGUACAUGGAGAAUUUAAAAGUGAGCUACAUUUUUAGACUGUCGGUAAGCUUCAGAUGGAAUAUCUCAACGGAAGAAUUGAAGAGGUAUGCGCAUGUACAUUUUAUUAUUUUGAAAUAGUUUAUCAAAAGUCGUACUGGAAAUCCAAGGAACACAAGAUUCUUCAAAUUUCGUUACACGAAAGUCACAUAUAAUUAAGUAAAAAGUUGUUACACUUCAAACUAUCCUAAAAAUAAAUACUGACUUAACUAUGCUAACAUGAUAUGGUAGGAUGAAUAUGGUCUACUACCAUGCCGAAGUAUUGCAAACACACAUCAACAUUUGGUCGAAAUGGUUAAUCACUACCAAACAUCGACAUAUAUAUUAUGUGAUAUUUUAUUACACAAGCUUGUUAUUUAGUGCAAACCAAUAGUGAGAGCAUCAGGAGAUUGCUAUAUUUCAUAUGUACAAUGCGAUCAUACCUGUUUUCAUAUUUAGUAAUUGAACCUUAAUUUUUCCUUGGGAAAUAUUAAAAUUAUGGCUAAUCACAAAUGUACUAAUUAUUUCUAAAGUUUGUUGAAUAUCAAGGCCUAACAUUGCCAAUGCCCCAAGCCCGGAAAAAAGUGAAGGGGGCAUAAACAAAUUAACAAUACGCCUUAAGUUGUAUUUUCUAUAAUAUAAAAGAAUGCUAUCAUCAUUGAGUACCUUCACCAUAGGUCAAUUGAAUGUACAGUACUAAUUUGCAUUGGUGUGUCUGCUCACACAUAUACUUAAAUUUUUACAGAACUAACUUAUCAGUAUCUACCUCAUUCAACAAUUAUACAACACUUACAAAAAGACUCGCAGGUUUUUACAAAAUUUGAAAGAAAAAUGGUGAAAUAUUUACCAAUAACAAGCAUUUCUUAAUUACAUUGUAUUGGUUGAAUCGCACAAACACAUCAAAAUGUUAAGAAAAAACCACAUGGUAUGUGUGGUAAGCCACUUACUAUUUGGAUGAAAUUGAGCUAUGAUGAUCUAGGUGAUUAGAUAAUAGAUUAAAAAUCCAAACAAAUCUAAAUUUUUUAAGAAAAAGGGGAAAUAUAUAACUAAGAAAAGAAGAAGGGGGGCCUGCAGGUCGGACUUCGAACUACGGAGAUUGUUGACGCCGUGGAGGAUGACGACGACGUUGCCGGCUACCUUGAGCGGGAAUACCGACGAUGUGCCUGGCCUGCGCACUUGGGGAAGACAACGUCGCUAACAUCCUAACACUCAAGCUGGAUCCAAGCAAGCUGCGGGAGACGAUAUCCACGCCCAAAUCAACUGCACGGACACCUACAACAACGGCACCUUGCAGGUCAAUCACCACGCCUCCUCCUUGCUGCAGUUGAUCCUUGGGGCCUACUAUCCCUCCACCGCCUUUCAAAAGCCUAGGAUACGAGGAACCAUACCAACCGCGGUCGAUGGCCACACUGGAAACACCAGCAGUGGACGUGGCUACAGGUGAGCACGAACGACCUCAAGGCAGCAAAUCAAGAGAGCAAGUUGAUGGGAGCUAUCCAGCAGCAGCAAUUUUGGAGUGAGCAGAGCGAAUAAGGAAAUGAGAAAGGGGAUCGGGCCAGAGGAACAUGUCACUGUGCGAAAGUGGAGAAUGG
rnacentral:rRNA from 1 species